CGCCUGUUUAACAAAAACAUGUCUUUUUGUUUAUAAUUUAAAGUCUAAUCUGCCCAUUGAUAAUAAAAUUAAAAGGCCGCGGUAUUUUGACCGUGCAAAGGUAGCAUAAUCAAUAGUUUCUUAAUUAGAAGCUUGAAUGAAUGAUUGAAUGAAAUAUAGACUGUCUUUAUAUAGUUGUUAUAGAAAUUAAUUUUUAAGUUAAAAAGCUUAAAUUAAGUUAAAGGACGAGAAGACCCUUUAAAGCUUUAUAUAAAAGUUAUAGGUAAUGUUUAAUAAUAUUUAAAUUACAUAUAAUUAUAUAUUUUAUUGGGGCGAUAGGAAAAUUUAUGAAACUUUUUUUUUAAAAAAAACAAUUAUUAUUGAUUAAUUGAUCCAUAAUUUGUGAUUAUAAGGUUAAGUUACUUAAGGGAUAACAGCGUAAUAUUUUUUGAGAGAACUAAUCGACAAAAAAGAUUGCGACCUCGAUGUUGGAUUAAGAUAAUUUUUAGGUGCAGAAGUUUAAAAAUUUGGUCUGUUCGACCAUUUAUUCUUACAUGAUCUGAGUUCAAACCGGAG
rnacentral:rRNA from 1 species